GACAGAGGGUGCAAACGUUGUUCGGAAUUACUGGGCGUAAAGCGAGUGUAGGCGGUUCGAUAAGUCGGAUGUGAAAGCCCCGGGCUCAACCCGGGAAGUGCACUCGAUGCUGUCGAGCUAGAGUAUCGGAGAGGUUGGUGGAAUUCUCGGUGUAGAGGUGAAAUUCGUAGAUAUCGAGAGGAACACCGGUGGCGAAGGCGGCCAACUGGGACGAAUACUGACGCUGAGACUCGAAAGCGUGGGGAGCAAACAGG
rnacentral:rRNA from 1 species